GCACUGGUAGCUCAGGGGUAGAGCAACCGGCUGCAGCUUACCAAAGCAUCCGGUAGGUCCCCGGUUCAAAUCCGGGUCAGUGCU